AAAGUUGUCCCAUGUGAUGUAUAAGCAGAUGCUCCUCCCCUCUCCUUCUGUCUGUCUUCCUCGUCUCACCUCUGGAACAGCAUCUUAGGCUACUCUGAAUGCAGCAGGAAAAUGUUGUGCUGUGAGUCUCAGAAGAUCGCAACAUGAUAAUAUGUCACAUGAAUGGGUUUCCUGACAUGAUACAUACUUCACCAGGCGUUGUGAGAUGUGAUACUGUUCGUAAGCAGAAAAAGACAAUCUGGAACGCCAUCUUUCUCUCAAUAUAGUUAUUGAUAUGGGACCAGACCAGUCCUCUUCAGGAUUCUGAGGCCUCCUCUCUGAGAGUUAUAAUGAGUUAUCAUCAGAUGGCUAAGGGUGGAGCCAUCCCUAAAGAAAGACAGAAGGAUCUUGAUGAGACCAUGGACCCUGAUAUGAAGAGUGUCCAUGUGCAUAAAACAGACUUUUCUACACCCAGCUGUGAGCCCACUAGAACACUGGAGAGUGACGGAGAACUAAGGGUCCAUAUGGAGAGAGCAGAGUCACCAGCACCCAGUUACCUAUCAAUGAAGACUAACCAAUCUAUGGAAAUACCUAAUUCUUUCAAGGAAGGAGACUUUAC